GAUGAACGCUGGCGGCGUGCCUAAUACAUGCAAGUCGAGCGAACGGACGAGAAGCUUGCUUCUCUGAUGUUAGCGGCGGACGGGUGAGUAACACGUGGAUAACCUACCUAUAAGACUGGGAUAACUUCGGGAAACCGGAGCUAAUACCGGAUAAUAUUUUGAACCGCAUGGUUCAAAAGUGAAAGGCGGUCUUGCUGUCACUUAUAGAUGGAUCCGCGCUGCAUUAGCUAGUUGGUAAGGUAACGGCUUACCAAGGCAACGAUGCAUAGCCGACCUGAGAGGGGAAUAGGCACAACAGAAAUGAGACAAGGGUCAGAAAUCCAAGGGGGGGAAGAGGUAGGAAAUUUUCCGAAAGGGGGGAAAGCCUAACGGGACAACGCGGGGGGGGGAAUAAAGGCUUUGGGAUGGAAAAACCUUGUUAUUGGGAAAAAAAAAAUGUGAAAGAAACGGGGCAAAUUUUAAGGGAACAAAAUAAGAAAACCAGGGCAAACUAGGU
rnacentral:rRNA from 1 species